GAUAACUUGACGGAGUGCCACGGUUUUUACAGAUGGUUUUGUUAAAAACAAAGUGGCUGAGAAUGUAAGUACAUAAUCCGUUGAACCUGAUGCGGUUAACACCGCCGUAGGAAGUCAAGUUUUCAUCUUAU
rnacentral:ncRNA from 2 species